rnacentral:rRNA from 1 species
UGAAUACGAGACGCUAAGGCGUCGAAGUAGUGUAUAUCAUACUUCCAAGAAAAGCUUGCAAUGUCAUAGAUAAAAAACGCCUGUACCAUAACCGACACAGGGGGGUAGUUAGAGUAUACUAAGGGGCGCGAGAUAACUCUCUCUAAGGAACUCGGCAAAAUAACUCCGUAACUUCGGGAGAAGGAGUGCCUUAUUCGUAAGGUUGCAAUAACAAGAUCCAAGCAACUGUUUAUCAAAAACACAGGUCUCCGCUAAGUCGCAAGACGAUGUAUGGGGGCUGACGCCUGCCCAGUGCCAGGAGGUUAAAGAAGUUGGUUAGCAAUUGCGAAGCUGAUAACUGAAGCCCUGGUGAACGGCGGCCGUAACAAUAACGGUCCUAAGGUAGCGAAAUUCCUUGUCGGGUAAGUUCCGACCCGCACGAAAGGCGUAAUGAUUUGGAUACUGUCACGGAGAGGGGCUCGGUGAAAUAGACUUGUCUGUGAAGAUGCGGACUACCUGCACCAGGACAGAAAGACCCUAUGAAGCUUUACUGUAACUUGAAAUUGAAAUUGGACUUUAUUCGCGCAGUAUAGGUGGGAGGCGUUGGUUAUAAUCUUGCGGGAUUAUUGGAGCCAUCAGUGAGAUACCACUCUUGUAAUGUUAGAUUUCUAACUUUGAAUCAUUAUCUGGUCAAAGAACAGUUUCAGGCGGGCAGUUUGACUGGGGCGGUCGCCUCCUAAACGGUAACGGAGGCGUACAAAGGUUUCCUCUGAACGGUUAGAAAUCGUAUCUAGAGUGUAAAGGCAUAAGGAAGCUUGACUGUGAGACCUACAAGUCGAGCAGGGACGAAAGUCGGUCUUAGUGAUCUGACGGUACUGAGUGGAAAGGCCGUCACUCAACGGAUAAAAGUUACUCUAAGGAUAACAGGCUGAUCUCCCCCAAGAGUUCACAUCGACGGGGAGGUUUGGCACCUCGAUGUCGGCUCAUCGCAUCCUGGGGCGGUAGUACGUCCCAAGGGUUGGGCUGUUCGCCCAUGAAAGCGGUACGCGAGCUGGGUUCAGAACGUCGUGAGACAGUUCGGUCCAUAUCCGGUGUAGGCGCUAGAAUAUUGAGAGGAGCCUUCUUUAGUACGAGAGGACCGAGAAGGACAUACCUCUGGUGUACCAGUUAUCGUGCCAACGGUAAACGCUGGGUAGCUAUGUAUGGAGUGGAUAACCGCUGAAAGCAUCUAAGUGGGAAGCCCACCUCAAGAUAAGUAUUCUCAUC